UUGAACGCUGGCGGCAUGCCUUACACAUGCAAGUCGAACGGUAACAGCUCUUCGGAGGCUGACGAGUGGCGAACGGGUGAGUAAUACAUCGGAACGUGCCCGAUCGUGGGGGAUAACGGAGCGAAAGCUUUGCUAAUACCGCAUACGAUCUACGGAUGAAAGCAGGGGACCCUCGGGCCUUGCGCGAACGGAGCGGCCGAUGGCAGAUUAGGUAGUUGGUGGGAUAAAAGCUUACCAAGCCGACGAUCUGUAGCUGGUCUGAGAGGACGACCAGCCACACUGGGACUGAGACACGGCCCAGACUCCUACGGGAGGCAGCAGUGGGGAAUUUUGGACAAUGGGCGAAAGCCUGAUCCAGCAAUGCCGCGUGCAGGAUGAAGGCCUUCGGGUUGUAAAACUCUUUCGGCAGGAACGAAACGGUGAGCUCUAACAUAGCUUGCUAAUGACGGUACCUGAAGAAGAAGCACCGGCUAACUACGU
rnacentral:rRNA from 1 species